ensembl:lncRNA
UGACAUCUGGACACGUGUGUGUUGUUUAUGUUUCUGUCAUGUCUCCUCCCUGUUCUGUCAUUGGCUGGGAUUUCACGUGGGUCUGAAUUGCUCUCAGCUGCUAGCGGUUUAGACGCUGAUCAUGUCCGCAUAUAUACCGCGCGCCUCCCAGUACACAACGCGGAAGAGUAAUACUUUAAAGUUAGUUUAGGGCGUGGCGUAGUGAUAGUCACGGGCCAUGGUUAGAGUGAAUUCGCGCUGGAUUAUCCGCUUCCAGUCCCUCGUCAUAGUUCGUUUUGUUUAUCGACCCUGUUUUCCGUGACCACGACCUAGAUUCCUGCCUUGCCCCGUGUAUGCCUGUUUGCCAGUCGCCUGACCUCUUGCAUGUUUAUGGAUUACGUUUUGGAUUUGUCUGCCUGUCUCUUUCAAAUAAACAACUGUUCAUCCUGCACUUGUAUCCGUCCUAUCUCUGCUCCGUCACGAUUCGUGACCGUGUCGGUCAGUUACGCAGGAGUCUCUAAGAUCGCGGCUGUGUAUCAGAGCGCUGUGUAAUUUUAGGCGAUUCGUCGAUUCUCGUUUUAAAGCACCGCUGAAGCUUUAUAUUUUAUUUUGGAGAAUACUUCAAAGAGGAGAUGGCCGUCUAACGUAACAGUGAUGCUGACAUUGUGUCUAUCCCGGACAUCGUAGACGAAAUCAAUCUUCUGAACAAGGCAAGCGGGUCGAACACAGAAGUCCCGCGAGUCAGGUUGGAAAACCCCGUGUUGAGUAAGAUCUGUAAUAAUGAGAUAUUUAGCUGUUAUGUUUAAAAGCUGUUUAAGAUGUUUUCUUAUGUAUUGUGCUCGUUUGAUUACUGUUCAAGGCUUGUCAAAUCUUGUAAACAAGAUUGCUGCACCCGAGUUCAAAACUAGUGCUGCGGUUUCCACUGAACGCGGUAUACCAACGAGCUCUGGAAAGGCCAAGCGUAGAACAGUCGCUCAGGUCCACAGCGCGGGUGUCGCGACGUCUAAACGUGAACGAUAGACAGACGGUAUGUAGCAUGUAUAAACUUAUUAUUAUUAUUAUUAUUAUUAUUAUUAUUAUUUUUUUUUUUUUUUUUUUUUUUAAAAUAUAUAAAGUUUCAUCAUCCUAAUUCGUGCCGGUAUCCUAAGCAUCUCGGGGCUACUGUUAUAGACAAUAACAGAGACUCGGUGGAUGUGAUACGAACCGGGUUCAAGGCCAUUGAGGAUCGUAUUGCAGGAUUUGAAAAGACUUUUGCUAGCGUCACCGAGCGUCUGGACAUUAUAGAAAAUAAUCAGCGUCUUUAUAAUCAGUGUUGUGGAAUCAUUACAAAACCAUACCAUCACACAUAAACAAAUCAUAGCAACCCAGAAACUCCUUGCUGGGGAAAUUCGACACGUUGAUCACAAUCAACACCUGACGACAAAAUUGUUAAACAGUUUGCACAGCUGGUUAAAAACAAGAAACUCGGGUGAGUUGUACAAUAAGUAUUUUCUACGUGUGUGUUUAUUUGCUGGUUCGUAUCUGUUUUACUGUAUGUGAGGUGUGUUUGGGGUGUGUUUUUUUUUUUUUUUUUUUUUUUUUUUUUUUUUUUUUAAACUAGGAUUUGUUUCAUCUUAAAAACUGUAAAAAUGUCAAAGCAGUGUGGUGAAAACUCGUGUAAUCUGGGAGCAGCAGUUAAAUUUAGAUGUGCCGACGAUGGUCUGUGUACUUUUGAACAGCGUGGCAAUACAGAGACGUUACAGGGUUUAAUUCGGACAAUGGAGGAUCUGAAUAGACAGCAGUCUACCACCGAUACUUUGUUGGACUUAUUAAGCAGUGUUAGAUCAAUGGCUGAGGUUCAAACAGAACCAAUGCUUAAUUCGUUGUUGGACAUCGGUUCAAAUUCGUUGUUAGACAGCGAUUCAAAUUCACAGCAGGUGAGGUGGGGGUCAGACAGUCAAUCGUUUAAUCCUUCGGAGCCAAAUUUUGGGUUAUCCGAAGCCGCUAUUGAGUCUAUCGUAAGAGAGGGUGGAUCUGUUGGUGGUUAUACGGUGGUACCGAGAUGCAGAUUUAAUGGAUUGGAGAUACGGCGUCGUAUAAACAUGCGUGUGAUAACCGCGCCAGACCUGGCUGCGUACACUCUGCAUGAUAUCAUGUCUGAAAUAGUGUCGUUUUCCAGACUGCUGGCCGGCGAUGGGGGCUUAAUCAACAUUACAUUGAGAGGCCCUAGUCUACCCUCUGAUGUUAACGCUGUCUUGUCACCUGACAACGAUUGCGAUUUGCACAUAUUCACACAACAACUUGAUUACAUUAUGCAAAGUAAUUCUGACAUACGGGCUGAUGAAUGUCUAGAUCUGAACGUGUCUAUAGCUCGCGGUAAACACAGUGGUGCUUAUCGAAAGAUACGUGAUUUAGCUCAUAAUGAGGUGAUUGCCAGAAACAGAAUCAAUCUGUUAUGCCUCAACAUGUCUAACAAUCUGUUUUGCAGUCUCUGUCCCAUUUUCUACAACCGCAUACGCCAUGUAGUGAUCUUGAGUCGUUAGCCGCGUCUCUACAGAAAACUGCAGGGUAUUCAUUACAGCAAAAGAUAUGGUUUAAUGACAUCACACGGUUUGAACGGUUGUUACAUGUUAAAAUAGUGGUGUUCCAUAGAACAUCUUCUGGUCUGUUGGAACACUUUACGAACAAUGACAAGCCUCAUAAUAAGACUGUGUUCUUGUAUCUACACAACGAACAUUAUUUCUUGAUUAAGAACCUAAAAGCAUUCAUUGGUACACCAUAUGUGUGCGAAUACUGCUAUCAUGGUUUUACUAGCCGUAGAGACCACAGAUGUAAAUACAUUUGCGAUGUAUGUAAUGCACCUGAUUGUCAUAAAUACGUUGGCAAAACGAGGCAAUGUCACGAUUGUUUGCGGUACUGCAGAUCAGCCUACUGUUACAAUGCGCAUAAACAAAUGCAAACAGGACAACAGUACGUUCAGUGUGAUGUCACUAAAUACUGUCAGAAAUGUAAUGGGCGAUAUCACGUCAACGGAGCCACACCAAAAAACGUGUGCCCUGCAGAACACUGUAUCCAUUGUAAAGCUGAAUUGGUUAAUGACUGAGUACACCAAUGUUUCAUACAACCGAUAAAAAUGGAACCACCUAGCGACAAAUACAUUUAUGAUUGUGAGACACAACACACAGACGGUAAACACGUUACAAAUUUCGUAUGCGCCAUUACAUUUAAAGGGAAGAGUUCACAGCCGCUGGUACAGACUGUAUAGAUCAACUUGUUAAAAAGUUUAGAGAGCCUCAUUAUUAGGUUUACACAUGGGUUGCACACAGCGCUUCAGGGUUUGACAAUUUUAUACUAUCAGAAUAUUUUGCAAAAGCAGGGCUAACACUCCAAAUUACUAUGCAUUUUAAUGUAUGAUAAGACAUUCAAGCAACAUUUCAUCGAUAGCUACUCUUUCAUCCCUAUGUGUCUGUCCAUGACAUCUGCCGUGUUAACCUGUGCUGAGAGCUCACUUUCCACAUCUGUUCAAUAGAAUAGAAAAUGAAGACUACGUAGGCCCAUACCCUGACGAGCAUUUCUUCAGCUAUGAGACAAUGUCUGAAAAAGAGGGCUCUGUUUGAGUGGUAUGUUACGUUGUCGGGUAAGGUUUUUGAUUUAAAAAAAAAGAGCUCGCCAUGUACGGCAAGAACGAUGUAGUUUUGCUCCGUGAGGCAUGCAUGAAGUACCGUGACGAAUUCAUACAAUGUACCAAACUCGACCCAUUCAGAUAAACCACUUUAGCAGCAUGCUGCAUGGCCGUGUAUAAAACCCACUACCUAGCAAAAGACACACCAGCUCUGACCCAUAACAAUGCAUACACAAAUCAGAACAAGACAUACUCAGCCGUUUCCAUUGAAUGGCUUGAAUGUCAAAACAUGCGUGUGAACAUUUAACACACUUUAAAUCAUGGAGAGAUGGUGAUUGUAAAAUAUCAUCUCAAUGGUUAUGAAAAGGAUGGUGUCAAAUACGGUUUCGAAUUCAACGGAUGCAUGUUUCACGGGCAUGAAUGUCGUUAUAACCCAAACCAUUUGCAUCCAUUAUCAAAAGUGCCAUACAGUUUGCUCAGAAGACGGUUUGAUGAUCAGGUCGAAAUUUUGGAAAAGGCGUAUGGUCUCGAUGUUGAGGUGAUGUGGGAAUGUGAUUGGAAUAAUGCUAAACAGAACGAUGUCGCUAUAAUGGCAUUUAUGUCCACUUGCACACAUCCUGAACGAUUGAAAUCGUGCAACACACUAUUUGGUGGUCGCACUAAUGUGUACAAAUUGUAUCACAAAGCCGACAAUAGUGAAAAAAUACAAUAUGUCGACUUUACAAGUUUGUACCCCUUUUGCCGGGCCAAAAAAGUUACCCCAUAGGGCAUCCGCAAAUAAUUUUCAAGGAUUUUGAACCUCUUAAAUUAUUAUGGGUUUGUCAAGGCUACAGUACUGCCACCACGAAAACUGCUUCACCCUGUCCUUCCCUAUAGGACCGGUGGUAAGCUUAUGUUUCCACUUUAUCGUACAUGUGCCGAACAUCAGAAUCAGACAGACCCAUGUCGUCAUACUGAUGAGGAAAGAGCUAUUUCAGGGUGUUGGUUCAGCAUAGAGCUGUUGAAAGGUGUGGAGAUGGGUUAUAUUGUAACAAACGUGGACGAGGUGUGGCAUUUUCCACAACGGUCAAACUUUUGUUUUAUGAUUGUUAAAACAUUUUUACAAUAUAAACAGAGGCCAGCGGUUUCCCCGCACACGUUAUGACAGACGCAGACAAGGAAUCCUACAUCUCAGACUACUUUGAGAAAGAGGGGAUUAAGAUGGACGCUGGUAAGAUAAGUCGCAACCCAGCACGCCGUUCUAUUAACAAACUUCUGCUGAACUCACUUUGGGGUCGUUUCUCCAUGCGUGAAAACUUGCCGUGUACAGAGUUAAUUUUGGACCCGGAACAAUUUACACAGCACAUAUUCGGUGACAGUUAUAAUGUUCAACACUUUUUUUCCUUCGUUUCAGACAGCGUGGCUCUAAUUCAGUGGUGUUAUGUGGAUGGUAAAGGGGGGCAGACUCGCGACAUCAACAUCUUUCUUGCGGCUUUCACAACAGCUCAUGCCCAUCUAGAACUUUACGAAUUAAUGGACAAAUUGAGUGACCGGCUGUUGUACAGUGACACAGUGUGAUCUUUACAUCUAGCGAGGGCGAAUGGGAACCUUCGUUGGGCCCUUAUCUCGGUAAUUUAACUGACGAGUUUGGAGCUGGUGAUCAUAUUGUAGAAUUUUGUUCAGGCGGACCAAAAACAUACGACUACCGCACUGCGAAGGGUAAGGUAUGCAUGAAAGCCAAAGGUGUCAUGCUCAACGCAGUAAAUUCAAAAGCCAUUAGAUUAGACACCCUGAUUGGACUUGUCGAUCACUACGUUGUGGGGGCGGAUAAUAGUCAUCAUGUACUGACAUACACAGAUACCAUCGUACGUAAUAAACAAUUCACACUACACAACAGGUCAAUUGUAAAAAAAUGUUUAACGUUGUGUACAACAAACACGUAGUGCUCCCAGAUUUCACAACGAUCCCAUAUGGCUUCUGACAAUAUUUUUGAACAUAGGGGUGUGUGAGACACAGGAGGUUUGAUUUCAGAUUACAUCACCCUUUUUCAUUUGCGAUAAGCAGACCUUCAAACUCGGAAGUCAUAUUUUGUAAAAAUGUUGCAAAAUGCUGUACAUUUGACUUCUAAAAAAAAUUAAAAAUAUUGUGGAUAUUUGAUUGGCAACUCUUGUAUGAUUUGUUAAAUGUACAAAAUAAAAUUUGUUGAAGGAUUACUACAGACUCUGAAUGAUGAUGCUCUGUUUUCGGCCAACACGGUUAAUUUGUUAAUCCUCGAUGAUCUGAUGAAAGAGGCCAGCGGGAGCAACGAGGUGGAGAAGGUCUUUACCCAAUAUGUACAUCAUACAAAUCUUGGUGCUAUUUAUAUUGUACAGAAUUUAUUUUGACAAGGGAAAGCCAGUAGGACCAUCAGUUUAAACACAAAUUAUCUAAUGUUUAAAAACCCCCGAGAUGCUAGUCAAGUCAGUGUUCUAGGAAGACAAAUGUAUCCCAGCAACACAAUUUUUUUUAAAUGGAAUGUUAUCAAGACGCAACCAGCAAGCCUUUCGGGUAUCUGCUGAUUGAUUUAUAAAACACAAACACCCGAACACUAUCGGCUCAGAACAGAUUUACUUGCGCCACACCCUGUGGUAUAUCUCCAGAAAAGAAGAGAGCGAAAUGUCUGUCAGACUUUGUAGAAACCUGCCGCUUUUAAAAAUAUUAUUAAAAGCGUCACCCAAACAAAGACGGAUUAUUUUACAAACUGCCAAAGACGAGCUCAUUGCGAAAUUGUGUGACGUAGCUCUUAAUGUUCUCUACGGCAAUAUACCUCUCACAUCUCAACAAUACCGGAAGGUCAGAAAAAGGAAAAGCCUAAUCAGAUUUGUAUCGGAAAGACUGCUGGUGUUUAAAGAAAGAGACGUGUAAUAAAUCAACAGGGGGGCUUUCUUCUACCGCUCUUAAGUGUGGCUAUUCCUUUCAGCUCCAGCCUGAUUGCUUCUAGAUAACAGAGGAAAUGAAGUACGCAGAGAAAAUGAUGAUGAUUCAGGAGAGUUUGUAUUUAACGGUAGAACUACUCACGGCUCACAGAUGCUCGAUUUAGUUAAAGGCAUCACGGCUCCGCAAAAGACUUCUGAUGCCCGAAGACCUGUUGGCUGGCUCGAAUUUCUGGAGGCUUUUGCUACUUUAAACAUACCAUACUCAACGGUGCCAAACCAUUCUGUCAGACACGCAAUUAACUCUUUCAAAAAGUAAAUCGACUUCGCCUAUAACCAAUUCAUCUAAGAAGCGUAAAAAACAGAAAAUACUUCCGAGCACACCAUCAGCACAAUCAAAUUAUUCAGAUGGCCCUGUAUUCAAAUCACCCACUCUUGACACGAGUCAGUGACUACGUUUUUAAUCCAUGAGUUUUCUAUUGUUUAUGAUCUUCUUGUUAUCUGUAUUGCUGUAUGUGGUGUAUGUAUAACAAUAAUAUUGAUGAUGAUGAUAAUAAUAAUAAUAAUAAUAAUAAUAAUAAUAAUAAUAAUAAAAAAAUAAAGUGUCAAAAGUAGAAG